UUUGGUGACUUUUGAGUGAAAUCCAAUGGCUAAAACUAUGCAAUACACUAACCACUCAUUUCAUAACGAACUUCGUACGAACCUGAAUUGUCCAAUUUCAUGGACCAAUCGAUAUCGGAUUGAGUCCAAAACUUGGGGAACAUCAUAAUACAAUGGGUGGAGUCAUUUGGCAGGUUCUGAGUGAAAUCCAACCUCUACAACUAUGCAAUAC
rnacentral:lncRNA from 1 species